rnacentral:rRNA from 1 species
UACGUAGGGUGCGAGCGUUGUCCGGAAUUACUGGGCGUAAAGAGCUCGUAGGUGGUUUGUCGCGUUGUUCGUGAAAACUCACAGCUUAACUGUGGGCGUGCGGGCGAUACGGGCAGACUAGAGUACUGCAGGGGAGACUGGAAUUCCUGGUGUAGCGGUGGAAUGCGCAGAUAUCAGGAGGAACACCGGUGGCGAAGGCGGGUCUCUGGGCAGUAACUGACGCUGAGGAGCGAAAGCGUGGGGAGCGAACAGGAUUAGAUACCCUGGUAGUCCACGCCGUAAACGGUGGGUACUAGGUGUGGGUUCCUUCCUUGGGAUCCGUGCCGUAGCUAACGCAUUAAGUACCCCGCCUGGGGAGUACGGCCGCAAGGCUAAAACUCAAAG